rnacentral:misc_RNA from 3 species
CAACCCUCAAGCCUAGCUUGGUGUUGGGGCACUACCCGUAAAACGGUAGGCCCUGAAAUCUAGUGGCGGGCUCGCUAAGACUCUGAGCGUAGUAGUUUACCACCUCGCUUUGGAAGAAUUAGCGGUGCUCUUGCCGUAAAACCCCCCAACUCUUUCUGAAA